ensembl:lncRNA
GUCAUCAAGGAGCAGGUAGGGGUUAGACAGUACAGAGACAGGUCAUUAAGGAGCAGGUAGGGGUUAGACAGUACAGAGACAGGUCAUUAAGGAGCAGGUAGGGGUUAGACAGUACAGAGACAGGUCAUUAAGGAGCAGGUAGGGGUUAGACAGUACAGAGACAGGUCAUUAAGGAGCAGGUAGGGGUUAGACAGUACAGAGACAGGUCAUUAAGGAGCAGGUAGGGGUUAGACAGUACAGAGCAGGUCAUUAAGGAGCAGGUAGGGGUUAGACAGUACAAAGACAGGUCUUAAGGAGCAGGUAGGGGUUAGACAGUACAGAGACAGGUCAUUAAGGAGCAGGUAGGGGUUAGACAGUACAGAGACAGGUCAUCAAGGAGCAGGUAGGGGUUAGACAGUACAGAGACAGGUCAUUAAGGAGCAGGUAGGGGUUAGACAGUACAGAGACAGGUCAUUAAGGAGCAGGUAGGGGUUAGACAGUACAGAGAC